rnacentral:rRNA from 1 species
CUUUGACCGCUCUAGAGAUAGAGUUUUCCUCUUCGGAGGACAAAGUGACAGGUGGUGCAUGGUUGUCGUCAGCUCGUGUCGUGAGAUGUUGGGUUAAGUCCCGCAACGAGCGCAACCCUUGAACUUAGUUGCCAUCAUUCAGUUGGGCACUCUAAGUUGACUGCCGGUGACAAACCGGAGGAAGGUGGGGAUGACGUCAAAUCAUCAUGCCCCUUAUGAUUUGGGCUACACACGUGCUACAAUGGACAAUACAAAGGGCAGCGAAACCGCGAGGUCAAGCAAAUCCCAUAAAGUUGUUCUCAGUUCGGAUUGUAGUCUGCAACUCGACUACAUGAAGCUGGAAUCGCUAGUAAUCGUAGAUCAGCAUGCUACGGUGAAUACGUUCCCGGGUCUUGUACACACCGCCCGUCACACCACGAGAGUUUGUAACACCCGAAGCCGGUGGAGUAACCAUUUUGGAGCUAGCCGUCGAAGGUGGGACAAAUGAUUGGGGUGAAGUCGUAACAAGGUAGCCGUAUCGGAAGGUGCGGCUGGAUCACCUCCUUUCUAAGGA